rnacentral:rRNA from 1 species
UUAAGCGACUAAGCGUACACGGUGGAUGCCCUGGCAGUCAGAGGCGAUGAAGGACGUGCUAAUCUGCGAUAAGCGUCGGUAAGGUGAUAUGAACCGUUAUAACCGGCGAUUUCCGAAUGGGGAAACCCAGUGUGAUUCGUCACACUAUCAUUAACUGAAUCCAUAGGUUAAUGAGGCGAACCGGGGGAACUGAAACAUCUAAGUACCCCGAGGAAAAGAAAUCAACCGAGAUUCCCCCAGUAGCGGCGAGCGAACGGGGAGCAGCCCAGAGCCUGAAUCAGUGUGUGUGUUAGUGGAAGCGUCUGGAAAGGCGCGCGAUACAGGGUGACAGCCCCGUACACAAAAAUGCACAUGCUGUGAGCUCGAUGAGUAGGGCGGGACACGUGGUAUCCUGUCUGAAUAUGGGGGGACCAUCCUCCAAGGCUAAAUACUCCUGACUGACCGAUAGUGAACCAGUACCGUGAGGGAAAGGCGAAAAGAACCCCGGCGAGGGGAGUGAAAAAGAACCUGAAACCGUGUACGUACAAGCAGUGGGAGCACGCUUCGGCGUGUGACUGCGUACCUUUUGUAUAAUGGGUCAGCGACUUAUAUUCUGUAGCAAGGUUAACCGAAUAGGGGAGCCGAAGGGAAACCGAGUCUUAACUGGGCGUUAAGUUGCAGGGUAUAGACCCGAAACCCGGUGAUCUAGCCAUGGGCAGGUUGAAGGUUGGGUAACACUAACUGGAGGACCGAACCGACUAAUGUUGAAAAAUUAGCGGAUGACUUGUGGCUGGGGGUGAAAGGCCAAUCAAACCGGGAGAUAGCUGGUUCUCCCCGAAAGCUAUUUAGGUAGCGCCUCGUGAAUUCAUCUCCGGGGGUAGAGCACUGUUUCGGCAAGGGGGUCAUCCCGACUUACCAACCCGAUGCAAACUGCGAAUACCGGAGAAUGUUAUCACGGGAGACACACGGCGGGUGCUAACGUCCGUCGUGAAGAGGGAAACAACCCAGACCGCCAGCUAAGGUCCCAAAGUCAUGGUUAAGUGGGAAACGAUGUGGGAAGGCCCAGACAGCCAGGAUGUUGGCUUAGAAGCAGCCAUCAUUUAAAGAAAGCGUAAUAGCUCACUGGUCGAGUCGGCCUGCGCGGAAGAUGUAACGGGGCUAAACCAUGCACCGAAGCUGCGGCAGCGACGCUUAUGCGUUGUUGGGUAGGGGAGCGUUCUGUAAGCCUGUGAAGGUGUGCUGUGAGGCAUGCUGGAGGUAUCAGAAGUGCGAAUGCUGACAUAAGUAACGAUAAAGCGGGUGAAAAGCCCGCUCGCCGGAAGACCAAGGGUUCCUGUCCAACGUUAAUCGGGGCAGGGUGAGUCGACCCCUAAGGCGAGGCCGAAAGGCGUAGUCGAUGGGAAACAGGUUAAUAUUCCUGUACUUGGUGUUACUGCGAAGGGGGGACGGAGAAGGCUAUGUUGGCCGGGCGACGGUUGUCCCGGUUUAAGCGUGUAGGCUGGUUUUCCAGGCAAAUCCGGAAAAUCAAGGCUGAGGCGUGAUGACGAGGCACUACGGUGCUGAAGCAACAAAUGCCCUGCUUCCAGGAAAAGCCUCUAAGCAUCAGGUAACAUCAAAUCGUACCCCAAACCGACACAGGUGGUCAGGUAGAGAAUACCAAGGCGCUUGAGAGAACUCGGGUGAAGGAACUAGGCAAAAUGGUGCCGUAACUUCGGGAGAAGGCACGCUGAUAUGUAGGUGAAGUCCCUCGCGGAUGGAGCUGAAAUCAGUCGAAGAUACCAGCUGGCUGCAACUGUUUAUUAAAAACACAGCACUGUGCAAACACGAAAGUGGACGUAUACGGUGUGACGCCUGCCCGGUGCCGGAAGGUUAAUUGAUGGGGUUAGCCGCAAGGCGAAGCUCUUGAUCGAAGCCCCGGUAAACGGCGGCCGUAACUAUAACGGUCCUAAGGUAGCGAAAUUCCUUGUCGGGUAAGUUCCGACCUGCACGAAUGGCGUAAUGAUGGCCAGGCUGUCUCCACCCGAGACUCAGUGAAAUUGAACUCGCUGUGAAGAUGCAGUGUACCCGCGGCAAGACGGAAAGACCCCGUGAACCUUUACUAUAGCUUGACACUGAACAUUGAGCCUUGAUGUGUAGGAUAGGUGGGAGGCUUUGAAGUGUGGACGCCAGUCUGCAUGGAGCCGACCUUGAAAUACCACCCUUUAAUGUUUGAUGUUCUAACGUUGACCCGUAAUCCGGGUUGCGGACAGUGUCUGGUGGGUAGUUUGACUGGGGCGGUCUCCUCCUAAAGAGUAACGGAGGAGCACGAAGGUUGGCUAAUCCUGGUCGGACAUCAGGAGGUUAGUGCAAUGGCAUAAGCCAGCUUGACUGCGAGCGUGACGGCGCGAGCAGGUGCGAAAGCAGGUCAUAGUGAUCCGGUGGUUCUGAAUGGAAGGGCCAUCGCUCAACGGAUAAAAGGUACUCCGGGGAUAACAGGCUGAUACCGCCCAAGAGUUCAUAUCGACGGCGGUGUUUGGCACCUCGAUGUCGGCUCAUCACAUCCUGGGGCUGAAGUAGGUCCCAAGGGUAUGGCUGUUCGCCAUUUAAAGUGGUACGCGAGCUGGGUUUAGAACGUCGUGAGACAGUUCGGUCCCUAUCUGCCGUGGGCGCUGGAGAACUGAGGGGGGCUGCUCCUAGUACGAGAGGACCGGAGUGGACGCAUCACUGGUGUUCGGGUUGUCAUGCCAAUGGCACUGCCCGGUAGCUAAAUGCGGAAGAGAUAAGUGCUGAAAGCAUCUAAGCACGAAACUUGCCCCGAGAUGAGUUCUCCCUGAC